rnacentral:rRNA from 1 species
ACUGAGGGUAGCGGAGAAAUUCCAAUCGAACCUGGAGAUAGCUGGUUCUCUCCGAAAUAGCUUUAGGGCUAGCCUCAAGUGAUGAUUAUUGGAGGUAGAGCACUGUUUGGACGAGGGGCCCCUCUCGGGUUACCGAAUUCAGACAAACUCCGAAUGCCAAUUAAUUUAACUUGGGAGUCAGAACAUGGGUGAUAAGGUCCGUGUUCGAAAGGGAAACAGCCCAGACCACCAGCUAAGGUCCCAAAAUAUAUGUUAAGUGGAAAAGGAUGUGGCGUUGCCCAGACAACUAGGAUGUUGGCUUAGAAGCAGCCAUCAUUUAAAGAGUGCGUAAUAGCUCACUAGUCGAGUGACACUGCGCCGAAAAUGUACCGGGGCUAAACAUAUUACCGAAGCUGUGGAUUGUCCUUUGGACAAUGGUAGGAGAGCGUUCUAAGGGCGUUGAAGCAUGAUCGUAAGGACAUGUGGAGCGCUUAGAAGUGAGAAUGCCGGUGUGAGUAGCGAAAGACGGGUGAGAAUCCCGUCCACCGAUUGACUAAGGUUUCCAGAGGAAGGCUCGUCCGCUCUGGGUUAGUCGGGUCCUAAGCUGAGGCCGACAGGCGUAGGCGAUGGAUAACAGGUUGAUAUUCCUGUACCACCUAUAAUCGUUUUA